CCGAAAAAUUCAAAUUAACGUCCGAUGUCAUUUUGGAAAUGAUUUCGUAGGCGUGGGCACGAAUACGAAGCUUGAAGGAGUUGUGGAAUUAGUUCGAACGAUUUUAUUUCGAAAACGAACGUUAUUUAGGGGGUCUUAAAAAGUGACUUCUUAUACGUACAGAAUUUGGGAAAACUUUCUUCAUGAAAGUUGUAGAGCUCGUCGAUACGAUCUCGUGCGUAUGUUGAACGCAAUAUUCGGAGUUUGUAUGAAUAAGUUAUGAAUAUUUGAAAAUCGGGAUUUUUUUUCUAUAAAUAUGGAGAAUUUCUGGAAUUUUUCUUAAAUCCCAAAAUUUCCUAUUCUUUCUAUUUUCUCCCCCGGUUUUCUCUCUUCUCUCUCCUCUCCCCCGACCUUUUUCUCUUCUUUCUGGGCGUUCUUCCUCUGCCAGCAGCGCCACCGUCCGGCCACCUCAAGCCGCUCUCGAGGUGUCCACGGCUUCGCCUCGACGUCGUCUAGCUACUGGACGUGACCACUUUCCCCGGAACGGCCUCAAAUCCGGCAAACCGGAGCUGCAAGGUUUGAGCCAAAAACAGUCAACGCCGGUUUUCUCCUAAUUCCGGCCACCAAAACUCACGAUCCUUAGCUCCCUGAACUCACCUCAACAUGCUGAUCAUCAUCCUAGAAGGAUCGCACCUGGAGUGACCGGAUUCACGUUCGUCGGAGCUCGGCCGGCUUUAAUUCGAAAACCACCUUCGAAUCCGAUUUUCUCGAGUUAUAGACCACCUUUUCUUGUGAUUCUUGGCCUGGUGAGUUCACCUUGAGAUUAUUAACAACUCUCAAGAAGGGAUCGAGGCCUGAGGUUGAAGUUUUUACGUCGGAAUUCAAGCUCGCCGGAUUCUGGAAAAUUUCCGACCACGAAGACUUUCGAUCAAGAUAUCUCGAGCUGUAGUGCAUCGUUUUGAUUGAUUCUUUUUCCAGUGGGUUCCCCUUGAUGUUGUUAACAACUCUCUAGAAGGCAUCGAGGCCUGAAAUUGAAGUUUUUACGUCGAUCGGAGCCCUCGCCGGAUUCUGCAAAAUUCUGCAAAUUUUCCGACCACCGAAGCUUUCGAUCGGUAUAUCUCGAGCUACAGACCAUAUUUUUCUGUGAUUCUUGAACCAAUGCGUUCGUCUUGAGUUUCUUAACAACUCUCUAGAAGGAAUCGAAGCCUGAAAUUGAAGUUUUGACGUCGAAAUCAAGCCUUGCCGGAUUCUGCAAAUUUCGCCGGAUUCUGGAAAUUUUCCGGCCACCUCGACUGUUCUAGGUUAUCGACGGAUUGAUUUGGUGGACGAUUCGGAUUGAUGUAUUUGGCUUUUUAGAAGACGCAGCUGGAUUAGAGGUUAUCGACGGAUUGAUUUGGUGGACGAUUCGGAUUGAUGUAUUUGGCUUUUUAGAAGACGCAGCUGGAUUAGAGGUGAGUAAACCUCACGUGGUUCAUAUUACGAACCGAAUAAAUUUAAUUACCUUAUUUUGUCGUAAUUGCGUGAAAAUAUUUAUGGAAUAAAUAUUUGUUUUAAAAUCAUAUGGACUUGAUCAAUUACGGUCCAUAGGUAAGUAAAAUGAUUUUAAUUAUACAAAAUGAAUUUCACGAUUUUCUUGUGUGAACUAUAGUUGGUAUUAGUGAUUAUCCCUGAGCGGAUAAUUACGUAUAUAUAUAUUUACGUGAUUAUAUGUGAAUGGCGUGACAUUGAAGAGUGUGAAAUUGAGAUGAUUAAAUUAUUAUAA